rnacentral:lncRNA from 1 species
AGCGUUGUUUUUAUUUUAUCUGCUGCGCGGCCUUUGCUGCGGUUCUGCAUUCAAUUUUGGCGGCUGCCGCCGAUGAUGAUACUGACGAUGCAACCAAAGAACUCUCCUUCGCAGGUUGCACGCGUCGUGAUCCCAUGCCGCAAUAAUGAAUAAAGUUAUAACGUAAAAAAGCCAAGGAGAAAUAAUAUAGAACUCGAGUGGUAUGAUUGUUCAGACUGCUGCAGUGCAUUGUUCUGGCAGCGCUUUUGCAAAGCACCAUCUACUUCCGUGGAAGGGAAAGCGUCAUGGCGGCUUCCUGUUUCGUCGCGCAAGGUUUUUCAAUACGGACUCUCAACAAACUUUCGCGAUUUUUAUACGUCGAACGCAUCCUCCCUCGUGAAAAAUCUUGACUGAAGUGACCGCAUUGAUGAAGACAAACAUCUAUAGCUCGGAACUGUGCCUCGUUUCGCCCAUGGGUUCCAAAGGAAAAAGGGUGUAAAAGGUGGCAAUGAAUCCGCACAUGAAGCUGGCUCACAAGCUAAGCCUCCCCUAAAGAGGUCCACUAAGCAAGCAUUUUAAAUAUUGCUAAUAAAACAUUUCGUUCUGUCUUCAUCUACCUAA